CGCUAGCGGCAGGCCUUAUACAUGCAAGUCGAACGGUAACAUUGGUGCUUGCACCAGAUGACGAGUGGCGCACGGGUGCGUAACGCGUAUGCAACCUACCUUUUACUAGAGUAUAGCCCAGAGAAAUUUGGAUUAAUCCUCUAUAAUAUCUUAUAAUUUCAUGAUUAUUAGAUUAAAGUUUUAAUGGUAAAAGAUGGGCAUGCGUCCUAUUAGUUUGUAGGUGAGGUAACGGCUCACCUAGACUACGAUAGGUAGGGGCCCUGAGAGGGGGAUCCCCCACACUGGUACUGAGACACGGACCAGACUCCUACGGGAGGCAGCAGUAAGGAAUAUUGGACAAUGGACGAAAGUCUGAUCCAGCCAUGCCGCGUGCAGGAUGAAAGCCCUAUGGGUUGUAAACUGCUUUUAUACAGGAAGAAAAACUCCGACGUGUCGGAGCUUGACGGUACUGUAAGAAUAAGGAUCGGCUAACUCCGUGCCAGCAGCCGCGGUAAUACGGAGGAUCCAAGCGUUAUCCGGAAUCAUUGGGUUUAAAGGGUCCGCAGGCGGUCUUUUAAGUCAGAGGUGAAAGCCUACAGCUCAACUGUAGAACGGCCUUUGAUACUGAAAGACUUGAGUUAUUGUGAAGUGGUUAGAAUGUGUGGUGUAGCGGUGAAAUGCAUAGAUAUCACACAGAAUACCAAUUGCGAAGGCAGAUCACUAACAAUAUACUGACGCUCAUGG
rnacentral:rRNA from 1 species